rnacentral:rRNA from 1 species
UACGGAGGAUGCAAGCGUUAUCCGGAAUGAUUGGGCGUAAAGCGUCCGCAGGUGGCUAUGUAAGUCUGCUGUUAAAGAGUGAGGCUCAACCUCAUAAGAGCAGUGGAAACUACAUAGCUAGAGUGCGUUCGGGGCAACCGGAAUUCUUGGUGUAGCGGUGAAAUGCGUAGAUAUCAAGAGGAACACCUGAGGUGAAGACGGGUUGCUGGGCUGACACUGACGCUGAGGCGCGAAAGCUAGGGUAGCAAACGGG